AGCUGCCUGCGGGGCCACCUCGGGGAAACUUGAGGGUUGGUUUUACUCGUAGCUAGUCUCAUCUGAGUGUGCCCUGAGAAAGAGAUAUGUGCAGCUCCUAUCGGGAUUUGUCGGCACAUUCGGGCGGUGUUGCUGGUUUAGUUUUACCCUGUCGAAAUGUCUUGUUGUACCGGGAUACCGAGUCUGAUCGGAGUGUCUCGGGUGGAGGUCUAUUCCUCCGUUGACCGUGAGAGCUUGUCAUGGGCUAAGUUGGGACACCCCUGCAGGGAUUUGAACUUUUGAAAGCCGUGCCCGCGGUUAUGGGCAGAUGGGAAUUUGUUAACGUCCGGUUGUAGAAAACCCGAAGUUGAUCUUAAUUAAAAUACACCAACCGCGUGUGUAACCGUGAUGGUCUCUUCUCGGCGGAGUCCGGAAAGUGAACACGGUGUUGGAGUUAUGUUUGACGUAGGUUGCUAUAGGAUCACUUCUUGAUCAUACUUUUAUCGACCGUGCUUAGCCUUCUCUUCUCGCUCUCAUUUGCGUAUGUUAGCCACCAUAUAUGCUAGUCGCUUGCUGUAGUUCACCUAAUUACUCCAUCCUUCCUUUAAGCUUAAAUAGUCUUGAUCUCGCGGGUGCGAGAUUGCUGAGUCCCUGUGGCUCACAGAUACUUCCAAAACCAGUUUGCAGGUGCCUAUGUUACCGAGCAGGUGACGCAACCAAGCUCAAGGAGGAGCUCGAUGAAGAUCUUGCCCUUUGUGUUGUUUUUGUUCUAGUUGAUCAGUAGUGGAGCCCAGUUGGGGUCGAUCGGGGACCUUUGUCGCAUUUGGGGUUCUUCUUUUAUUUUGGUUCCGUAGUCGGACCUUGAUUGUAUCUGGAUGAUGUAAUGCUUUAUUCAUGUAAUUGUGUGAAGUGGCGAUUGUAAGCCAGCUAUGUAUCUCUUUCCCUUAUGUAUUACAUGGGUUGUGUGAAGAUUACCUCACUUGCGACAUUGCUUUCAAUGCGGUUAUGCCUCUAAGUCGUGCUUCGACACGUGGGAGAUAUAGCCGCAUCGAGGGCGUUACAAGUUGGUAAUCAGAGCCUUCCCCGACCUUAGGAGCCCCAUUGCUUGAUCGUUUUUAGCGGCCGAGUUGUGUCUAGAAAAAUAUUUUGAGUCAUUUAGGAUUAUAUAUAUCGGAGAGUUAGGAAUUCUUUUUACUCCCCAGUCUCCUCAUCGCUCUGGUAAGGCAUCCUGACGUAGAUUUUUGACUCUUCUCUUCUCAAAUUUCACUAAUUUUUUUUAGGAUCACGCGGGUAUCUUGGAAUCGUUCCGAUGGUUUUAUGAUGAGAACAUUGUCUUGGUGCCUCCUGUCAGGGGUUUAGUGGAAGUGUCCCGGGGAGUUGAGCUCUGAGGUGUUGUCGUCAUAAUUUUAUCGUUGCAGUUCUGGAAUACCUGAGUUUAGUACGCCGACAUCGAAAAUCUCUUUUAUGCAGUUGUUGGUGAGAUAACCCCGAUAACCCAGUACUGAGGUGAGUACGGGAGUAUUGCCAUAACUUGUAUAAUGGAUGCUUUUCGAAGGUUGAGGUAGACGAUUUCCGAAGGUUUCUUGGUUAUGUGUUGAUGGAUGGAUACAGCUGGAUGUAGGAUUUGUUAGUUUUGGGUGAGAUAUUAUGCUUCCCCUGUAUCCCCAACACCUGAUUGCAUAACCGGAAAAUUUCGGGAGUUUCAUAGGUGGGGAUUCAAGUAGCUCUUAGGAUAUCUUUCUGACGGAUGUAUGAUAUGAAAUUGGGGUUCGACGUCUAGUGGUCCGCCUAUUCACGGUUGGUUUUACAGUGGUCUCGUUGUGUCUUAAAGAGUCCUUGGCUAUGCCGACUCGGGGACGCUUCGUAUGUCAUGUGCACUGCCUUGUACAUGAUGGUGCUGUACGAUCGAGCCCGUGUAGGCCCCACCACGAAAACUUCGGACGAGAUCUCUAUCAUAUGUUUGUUCCGGCUUAUUCUGCAAGCCAAUCCUUUGUUUUGUUUUUGUUGUGGUAUUCGAGUUGCUUCGAGUCAAAUGUUGAUUCCAUACCUUUUCCAAAUGGUGUUCUCAUAUUCCUAUGUGAAUACUAAUCCUUCUUGAUCAUCGAGAUUGUCUUGCCAAUCCUUUUCAACCAGUGUGUCUCUCUUCAAGUGGAUCCGAUCAUUCUUCCCAUCCGCAAGAUCAAUUCUAAGUUUUCUCAACGGUGUUCAUUCCAACUGCCCCAAGUUGCCUUUGUUUUUCCCGCCCUCCCACCCUUUUUGUUCAAGGACUAAGAUUUCUUCUUCAAGUAUCCAUUUUAUUGAUGGGAAGUUUCUCCAUUCUUUUCUGUCAAUGUUCUUACCCGGUGGUUCUCAAGAAGAUGUUCUACUAGUUCGUCAUUCCUCGUUCUUUUCUUCUCCGGUGGAUUUAAUUCAAGCUUUGGUAUUAAGCAUACUCCUUUUCUUUUUUUCCAAUGCUUUUCUUAUGCCGGUGCACCUCUUAAUCAUCCAUCUCUCGCUAUUAAAUUGUUCCGGAGUGCUCAAGUUAUCUCGAAGAUUCGUGUUUCCACUCUGCAUUAGUUCAAGCUCUUUCGAGAUUGGUAUCUCAUUCAAGUCAUUUAAUUCAACCGGUGCAACAUCUCUUUUAAAUCUUUUCAACGGUGUUCUUUUGAGUGGGCCCUAACCCACAGGUCUUUUCCCAGGAUCUUACCUGACUCUUCUAUUUUCCCAGAGCUAUCCUAAAUUCUUCUCCAAGUUUGACGUAAGAAUGAGUUAUCAUUAGUCAAAUGCUUUUCUCCAAGAUCUUUCAAAUUCUUUUCAUAGUUGGCUCAACCUCUUCGCUUUUGAUUCUUCCGGUGUGCCUCAAUAAUUCUUGGUGGUGUUUCUCGUUGUCAUUCUCAUCAUUUGAAGACCGAAGAAGAGUUUCUCUUUAUUCUUGCUCUAUUCUCUUCAAGAUUCAUGGUGCUAGCUUGUUGCCAUCCUCUCAUAAUUGUUUUCGAUUGUGAGAAUCUUUUUCACCCAUCAGGAGAUAUUCAAGAGUCUUCUCAGUUUGUCAUUCGGAGUCCAUCAAUUCAGGUUUAUUCAUUCUCAGCCGUCAGUUAUCAUUCUCCUAUCUUGCCGGUGCAUCUAUCGAAUAUCCUCUAAUCAGUUCUUGAUCUCUUUGUUCUCAUGUAUCUAGUUUGUCUCAAGCACCUUCGUUCAUUUGCUAAUUCUAACCAGUGAUGCACCCCUACUUCGAUCAUUUUCAAUUCUUACGGUGGUUCUUUCAAGAUCUCUCUUCCUUGUUCAUCAUAUCAAUUCAUUUGUUGUUCCAAUCCUACCGGUGGUUCGUUGAAGACCUUCUCAAGUUUACGCUAUAUCUCUUUUAAUCCUUUCUACGAGAAUAAGUAGUAUGCCAAAUCCGUUGAUUGUCAUCAAUUUAAUUGGUGAAGGAUAAGCAUAACAUAAUUCUUAUUCUUGUUCAUCCAAGUGAUUAAUUCUUUAUUCCGGAGGCCCUUAAAAUUCUCGGUUUCAUUUGUUUCAUCUUCUCUUUUUCCCGGAGUUCCAAGCUCUAAUUAUCACGGAGAUCCAUCUAAAUCAUUGCAAGGAUUCACCUUGUGUUUUCAAUUUCUCUUUCUUUUCAUUCCUUUUGUUUACCGGAGUUCUUCAUGGAGGUUCUACAUGACGAUUCAUCAAGGAUUUAAUUCCUUCUCAAAGUUUUCAUCAAGAUUCAUUGCUAGGGAGCUCAAGCUUUCUUCAUAUUGUAAUCCGGAGUGCAAUUUCUUUCUACCAUAUUAUCGGAGGUGGUAUUAUGUCAUUCUUGAUAAUUUGAGUUCAUGUUUUCCAUGAUUCACAUGUUGUUAAGAAUGAGUUAUUUUUAAAUCCAUCAACCUCGUUGUUGGAGUUAUCUUGUGUCAUAUUUCACCUAAAAGCCUUCCAUUGGGAAUGUUGCUAUUUGUGGUGCUUGCCAAUGAUUCAAGUUAUCUCUUUAUCAUCUUGGUGGAAGAAGUGUUCAUCUCUUUGUCGAUCUAAAGCUAGCAAUCGUUUCCGUUAGUGGCAGGUUGUCACCUCAUUAUUUGAGAUGUACUCCACAAGACCAUAGCAAGCUUAUCUUUUCGUUGUUGGUUUUCCAACAACUCCGUUCUAGCAUUUGUUGUUAUCGUGCUCUCUCAAGAUCUUGUUUCACUUCGUUCAUUCCAUUCCACUCUUUCUUCUAUUCCGGAGGCAUUGUGAUGCUCCUCUCUGCAACCCAUCUUCUUGUUUUGUCAGGAUCAUGUUCUUUUCUUGACUUAUCCAUUCAACCGGAGUGUUGUGUUCCUUUUGCUCAAGUUCUCUCAUUUUAUCAAGUCUUGCAUCUCUGUUCAACCAGAGUGCUGCCCGAAUUCUUCCUCUCUGAUCUUGUUUUAACCGGAGUGAUUUCGAAUUCUAUCUUGUCCAUCAAACUCUUGAUUCAUGUCUUUGCAACCUUCAAGUCCUCGUAAUGUUCCUUGUUCCUCUUUUCUAACGGAUUGUUUGCAAUCUCGUUCGUCUCUGCUGUACUCUUUCUUUUAAAUUGCUCAACCUCUCAAGGUUCAUGGUUUCACUCAUUGGUCAAAGAAGCAACUUAGUUUUACCGCUUCUCUUUCCCUUUCGUUUUCCCUCCGGUGCCAUUCUAGAUCUCGGGACGAGAUCCUCUUGUAGUGGUGGAGUGUUGUAACGCCCCGAGACCGACGUUCCAGAAGACUUCCAGCUACUCCGAGUUUCAUUGUGUGAUUUUGUUUUGUUCGUGCAUUCAUCUCUGCAUCAUUUGCAUUGCAUCAUGCCAUCAUAUCAUUAAUUUUUAAAACCUCAACUAAAUAAAUUGUAUGGAUUUUUCGAUCCAUUUAAAUCGAGGGAAUUCACUCGUGAUUUCUCUUUAUAACAUAUUAAAGCCUCUCAAUAUUAUUAGGGAGCUAUAUUAAAAAUUCCACUAUUUUGGAAUCACCAAAACACACUUACAAAAUAAUUUCGUUCCUUUUCUGCUUCAAGUUUGGUCUCCAACCUUGCCAAUAUUUAUUUCAUCAUUUUCCGGAGCUCCACCAAAAAUCCGAACAUUUUUGGACACUUCUAAAUCCUAGUCCUUGUUCAAACCAUUUGAAUUAAAUUCAAAUGACUUUGAAUUUAAUUCUUGCAAUCUUGCCCACUCCAUUUUUCUUGGGACAAGCGCAUUUUUGCGAGUCUGGGAAAAUUAUCCCCGUGCCCAACUCUUUCUCUAACCUUUCUUUUCUUCCCUUUUUUCUUUCUCUUUAUUUUCUGUUUUGAUAAGAGAAUUAGAGAUAUAGAGAGAGAAGGAGCCCUGCAGCCCAGCAGCCAGGCCGGCCCAUUUGCCUCUAGGCCCAGCCGCCCCGCUGCUCUAACCCUAGCCCGCACCGCAGCGCUCUCUCCCUCGCGCCGUCAUCUCUCUUUCCCUCGAUCUCUCCCUCCUGCACCCGCGCCUCUCGCCCGAUCCCCUCCUCCCUCGUUGCGCCGUCGCAGAGAGAGAGAGAGAAGAGCGCCGCGGCCUCGCCCUUCCUCCUCCGGCAUCGAGCGCCCCCGCUCCUCCUCGCCCUUCUCCUCGCCCUUCUCCUCGCCGCAUCGCCCGAUCCCCUCACUCGCUCGCCCCCUCCAUCCUCGUCCCAAUCGGGAGAGGCCCCCGAUCCACCGAAACCGUGAUCCGGCGCCCCCAGCCUCAUCAGCGCCCGUGCCUCCUCCUCCCUCCGUUCGACCUCAACCUCCAGGCCAUCUCCGCCGUGACCCGUCCGGCCAUCGCCCGCUCCGGUGACCCAUCGCCACCUGCCGCUGUCGGCGACCACCGGGAGGGCCACCUCGCGCGCGGCCCCGCCGCUAGCGUCCCUCGCGUCCAGGCUCCUUCCAUGGCCACGCCUCGCCGUCCGAGCUGCUGCUCCCGUCGGCCCUGCCAUUGCGCCUCCUCGCCGAGGCCACCUGGUUCAUCCUCCACGCCUUGGCCAACCCGACCCCAAGCUCCUGCUGCAGCCGCUUCUUCCCAGCUCCGCCCCUACUUCUCCGGCUUCGUCCCCGAUCGGACAGCAUCGACCGGCCCCGCCUCCAACGGCCGCAACUCCGGCCUCUCCAGCAGCACUCUUACACGCACCCCUCGUUUGCCUUCGAUCCCCAGCCCGAUGCCAAGACCGCAGCUCCAUGUCCCCGUGGCCGCCAAGCUCUCUUUCGGGGACCUCCUCAAGACCAGGAACGCCCUGACCGAGACCGACAAGUACCACUACGCGGAUUCGUCAAGUCCGACUACGAAGCAAAGACCAUUCACCACUACUGCCGCUGAGGGUUUCGUCAAGUUCAACUACAUCGACUACGAAUGGUGACGACCCCGAACAUCUACGAGAACAUGUACCACUACCGUCGCCGAAAACCGUCAAGUGUACCUCUACCUCGUCUUCGGAAUCGCUAAGAACGUCAAGUACCCCUUCGAGAUGACGAGAUCGACAAGUUCGAAUGACCCCAAGUACCUCUUCGAAACGACCGAGUACUAUUACCAUCGGACGCGUGAACGACUACUUCCUCUACUUCCGACGACGACCGCUCCGUGAACGACUACUUCCACUACGAACGCGUUCCGCCCCGAAUGCAUGCCUCGAAGGUAUAACCCCGAGACGACGCCCGUGAACGAAUGUUGCGUGUUGUAUGAAAUGCUCGUGUUUACUCCGUGUCGGAGUUGUUCGGAGCACGUUGCCCCUCUUUUGCCUUGCCACCGACAUGUGGGAACCUCGUAAUCGGGAGCACCCCACCAUCCUUGCAUGACACGCUCCCGUCACUUCCUUUUGCACCGGUAUCCCCGUGGGCUACCGGAGAACCGAUAUGUUGUCGUGGCAUCAAUUUCGGAUUCAUCGUCGUGGCACCCUUUUCCUUUCCACCACGAUGUCAAAUGCUUCAUAACAUGUUCAUGUUAUCGUUUUCAUAAAAUUGCUUAAAACUUGUAUAUGUCAUCCGCAUCAUGAUAACAACAUUUAAAAUGUUUAAACUUGUUGUUGCAUUAAAUUGCUAAAUGCAUAUGGGGAUUUACCGGAUUUGUUGUUUUUAUAUCCGGCCCCAUUUAAAUUGUUUAGAUGGUAUAGUUUAUAUUAUGCUUCACCUCUUGCCAUGUUUAACAACAGUUAAUAUUGUUGGGUAGCUUAAACGAGAGAUAACUAAAUAAUUGAUGUGGUGUUCCGUCAACAUGCACCUCAUUGCAUAUUGAGCUCCACUUAACUUGUAGUAUUGUUUGUUGCACUUUGCCAUGCCAUGCCUCAUUAAACCGGACAUGCAUCAUACUUGAUUGUGCAUCAUGCCAUGUUUAUGUGAUGUUUGUUUACUAUGUUGUUUGUUUCUUUCCGGGUUGCUUCUCUCGUUAGCUUCGGUUUCGUUCUGGAGUUGUGAGGAUUUGUUCGUCUACGACCGUUUGUCUUCUUCUUGGAUUCGUUCUUCUUCCUUGCGGGAUCUCAGGCAAGAUGAUCAUACCCUCGAAAUCACUACUAUCUUUGCUAUGCUAGUUUGCUCGCUCUUUUGCUAUGCCAAUGCUACGAUGCCUACCAUUUGCUUGUCAGCCUCCCAAAUUGCCAUGUCAAACCUCUAACCUUUGACACCAUUCCUAGCAAACCGUUGUUUGGCUAUGUUACCGCUUUGCUUAGCCCCUCUUAUAGCGUUGUUAGUUGCAGGUGAAGAUUGAAGUUUGUUCCUUGUUGGAACAUGGAGAUGUUGUUCCUUGUUGGAACAUGUUUACUUGUUGGGAUAUCACAAUAUAUCUUACUUAAUUAAUGCAUCUAUAUACUUGGUAAAGGGUGGAAGGCUCGGCCUUAUGCCUGGUGUUUUGUUCCACUCUUGCCGCCCUAGUUUCCGUCAUAUCGGUGUUAUGUUCCCGGAUUUUGCGUUCCUUACACGGUUGGGCUAUAAUGGGAACCCCUUGACAGUUCGCCUUAAGUAAAGCUCCUCCAGCAAUGCCCAACAUUGGUUUUACCAUUUGCGCUAACAACCUACCACCUUCCCUUGGGUUCUGCAGACUCAAGGGUCAUCUUUAUUCUAACCCCCCCGGGCCAGUGCUCCUCUGAGUGUUGGUCCGAACUGAGCUGCCUGCGGGGCCACCUCGGGGAAACUUGAGGGUUGGUUUUACUCGUAGCUAGUCUCAUCUGAGUGUGCCCUGAGAAAGAGAUAUGUGCAGCUCCUAUCGGGAUUUGUCGGCACAUUCGGGCGGUGUUGCUGGUUUAGUUUUACCCUGUCGAAAUGUCUUGUUGUACCGGGAUACCGAGUCUGAUCGGAGUGUCUCGGGUGGAGGUCUAUUCCUCCGUUGACCGUGAGAGCUUGUCAUGGGCUAAGUUGGGACACCCCUGCAGGGAUUUGAACUUUCGAAAGCCGUGCCCGCGGUUAUGGGCAGAUGGGAAUUUGUUAACGUCCGGUUGUAGAA
rnacentral:lncRNA from 1 species